rnacentral:rRNA from 1 species
UACAGAGGUCUCAAGCGUUAUCCGGAUUCACUGGGUUUAAAGGGUGCGUAGGUGGGCAGGUAAGUCAGUGGUGAAAUCUCCGGGCUUAACCCGGAAACUGCCAUUGAUACUAUCUGUCUUGAAUACCCUGGAGGUGAGCGGAAUAUGUCAUGUAGCGGUGAAAUGCUUAGAUAUGACAUAGAACACCCAUUGCGAAGGCAGCUCACUACGGGAAUAUUGACACUGAGGCACGAAAGCGUGGGGAUCAAACAGG